GGCUAAGUCCGUUCGGCGGA
rnacentral:snRNA from 1 species